CGAUCUUUCACGAUCACGCCACUUUGCUUCCCCACUUGCAAGCGGCCGACGACGAGUGCGUAGGUAUAUAAAGGUGUACGUGUUCACGAUUCCGGCAUAACACAUAUUUUUGUGCAGAUAUAUUCUUUGUUUUCACUCAACACUCAAAAACCAACCAACAAAUCAAAAAUGGGCGCAGAAAAGGUAUCCAUGAACAUCGUUGUCGUCGGACAAGUCCAAUCUGCCAAAGCAGUCAAGACCGUCGCCAAGGCCGCCCCAGCCACCAGCCAAUUGAUGAACUGUUAAUUCACGUAGUUCAUCCAUCACAAACUCAAAAAUGCCAUAGACCAAACAAUACAAUAUUAUGUAAAUCUUAUUGAUUUGACGCCAUGAAAUAAAACAGCCACAUCCGAUAUUCA